rnacentral:rRNA from 1 species
GCAUGAGUGAGUGUCAUUGUCGAAACCUGGCAUAGCAGAACGACCCGAGAACAUGUUUCAACGCUUGGGGGCGGAGGGUCUUGCGGCUCUGCGCCCCCUUAUCCUAGGAGGCAAGUGUCUUGCGUGUUGCAUUUCGGUGCUUUCGCUUGAUCGACCCUCCCAGGCGUACUGAACACCGGCGUGAAUUGCGCCAAGGAACUUGAAUGAAAGAGCGUUCCCCCGCCGUCCCGGAGACGGUGCUCGUGCGGGUGGUUUCGUCGUCUUCAAUAUGUCUAAACGACUCUCGGCAACGGAUAUCUCGGCUCUCGCAUCGAUGAAGAACGUAGCGAAAUGCGAUACUUGGUGUGAAUUGCAGAAUCCCGUGAACCAUCGAGUCUUUGAACGCAAGUUGCCCCGAAGCCAUUAGGCCGAGGGCACGUCUGCCUGGGCGUCACACGUCGUUGCCCCCCCCAACCCCUCGGGAGUUGGAUGGGACGGAUGAUGCCCUCCCGUGUGCUCAGUCACGCGGUUGGCAUAAAUACCAAGUCCUCGGCGACACAACGCCACGACAAUCGGUGGUUGUCAAACCUCGGUUUCCUGUCGUGCGCGCGUGUUGAUCGAGUGCUUUCUCAUACAAUGUGUGUCGAUCUCUCGAUGCUCUCA